GUAUGGUGCUUGGAAGCCACUCUGGCGUGAGAAGAAGGCUGGGAACUCUCUUGAUUCUCCAAAGGCAGCCACACACACACCCUGAGUCUCCUGCAGCAGUGGAAUGUUUGACGGCUCUAGCUUUCCUGAUCUAUCAUUUUCUGGGAGCAUCAUCCUGGAAAAGCAAAUCUAAUGCCAAAGAGAAAGGACAUGGAUAGCACUACCUUUGACCUCAGUUGGAGCAGCUGCUGGAACAGCCCCUUGGACAUGUUAGGGAGCAGCCAAGUUGUUGUACAGCCCCAGGACUACAGAACUCUUUGACUUGACCAAGAAUACGAAUACCAAUCCAGUAAGUUAUAUGCUUCAUUCUUACAACUUCACUGAAUGAGGAACAUCAAAAUCCACCACCUCAAAUUCAGAGGAUGCGCCAUGCCAUGUGUAAUGAUGGUGCUUUCCAAGGCUACAACGGGUCUCCCUUCCACCAGAGCUUCCUGUACAGAGGGAUGAAUCCUGACAUAACCACCUGGGGAUAAACACAGAAGACUGUUCUUUGGAGGGAAUUUACAAAUAACUUUAAGAAGACUAGAGCUGUGUUUUAUGUAAGUGAAAUGUGUGCAAAAUAUCUCUACUGUUAAUA